rnacentral:rRNA from 1 species
UAGGGAAUCUUCCACAAUGGGCGCAAGCCUGAUGGAGCGACACCGCGUGAGUGAAGAAGGGUUUCGGCUCGUAAAACUCUGUUGUUGAAGAAGAACGUGCGUGAGAGUAACUGUUCACGCAGUGACGGUAUUCAACCAGAAAGUCACGGCUAACUACGUGCCAGCAGCCGCGGUAAUACGUAGGUGGCAAGCGUUAUCCGGAUUUAUUGGGCGUAAAGCGAGCGCAGGCGGUUACUUAGGUCUGAUGUGAAAGCCUUCGGCUUAACCGAAGAAGUGCAUCGGAAACCGGGUGACUUGAGUGCAGAAGAGGACAGUGGAACUCCAUGUGUAGCGGUGGAAUGCGUAGAUAUAUGGAAGAACACCAGUGGCGAAGGCGGCUGUCUGGUCUGCAACUGACGCUGAGGCUCGAAAGCAUGGGUAGCGAACAGG